AUUGAACGCUGGCGGCAGGCCUAACACAUGCAAGUCGAACGAGUGGCGGACGGGUGAGUAAAGUCUGGGAAACUGCCAGAUGGAGGGGGAUAACUACUGGAACCGGUAGCUAAUACCGCAUACCAUCGGAUGUGCCCAGAUGGGAUUAGCUAGGAGGUGGGGUAACGGCGCACCUAGGCGACGCUCCAUAGCUGGUCUGAGAGGAUGACCCGCCACACUGGAACUGAGACACGGUCCAGACUCCUACGUGAGGCAGCAGUGGGGAAUAUUGCACAAUGGUGGCAAGCCUGAUGCAGCCAUGCCGCGUGUAUGAAGAAGGCCUUCGGGUUGUAAAGUACUUUCAGCGAGGAGGCGUUACUCGCAGAAGAAGCACCGGCUAACUCCGUGCCAGCAGCCGCGGUAAUUC
rnacentral:rRNA from 1 species